UGGGGAAUUUUGGACAAUGGGCGCAAGCCUGAUCCAGCCAUGCCGCGUGCGGGAAGAAGGCCUUCGGGUUGUAAACCGCUUUUGUCAGGGAAGAAAUCUUCUGAGUUAAUACCUCGGGAGGAUGACGGUACCUGAAGAAUAAGCACCGGCUAACUACGUGCCAGCAGCCGCGGUAAUACGUAGGGUGCAAGCGUUAAUCGGAAUUACUGGGCGUAAAGCGUGCGCAGGCGGUUUUGUAAGACAGAGGUGAAAUCCCCGGGCUCAACCUGGGAACUGCCUUUGUGACUGCAAGGCUUGAGUGCGGCAGAGGGGGAUGGAAUUCCGCGUGUAGCAGUGAAAUGCGUAGAUAUGCGGAGGAACACCGAUGGCGAAGGCAAUCCCCUGGGCCUGCACUGACGCUCAUGCACGAAAGCGUGGGGAGCAAACAGGAUUAGAUACCCUGGUAGCCACGCCCUAAACGAUGUCAACUGGUUGUUGGGAAGGUUCCUUCUCAGUAACGUAGCUAACGCGUGAAGUUGACCGCCUGGGGAGUACGGCCGCAAGGUUGAAACUUAAAUGAAUUGACGGGGUCAUA
rnacentral:rRNA from 1 species